rnacentral:rRNA from 1 species
CAGAGGGUGCGAACGUUGCUCGGAAUUACUGGGCGUAAAGCGCGUGUAGGCGGGUCGGCAAGUCAGGCGUGAAAUCCCCAGGCUCAACCUGGGAACUGCGCUUGAAACUGCCGGUCUUGAGUAUCGGAGAGGGUGGCGGAAUUCCUGAUGUAGAGGUGAAAUUCGUAGAUAUCAGGAGGAACACCGGUGGCGAAGGCGGCCACCUGGACGAUUACUGACGCUGAGACGCGAAAGCGUGGGGAGCAAACAGGAUUAGAUACCCUGGUAGUCCACGCCGUAAACGAUGGGUGCUAGGUGUCUCGGGUAUUGACCCCUGAGGUGCCGUAGCUAACGCGUUAAGCACCCCGCCUGGGAAGUACGGCCGCAAGACUA